UUGAUCCUGGCUCAGGACGAACGCUGGCGGCGUGCUUAACACAUGCAAGUCGAACGUGAACGGGGCUUCGGCCCUUAGUAAAGUGGCGCACGGGUGAGUAACACGUGGAUAAUCUGCCCUUAUGAUCGGGAUAACAGUCGGAAACGGCUGCUAAUACCGGAUACGCUCAAAAUGAACUUUUUGAGGAAAGGUGACCUCUGCUUGCAAGUUACUGCAUGAGGAUGAGUCCGCGGCCCAUUAGCUAGUUGGUAGGGUAACGGCCUACCAAGGCAACGAUGGGUAGCCGAUUUGAGAGGAUGAUCGGCCACACUGGAACUGAAACACGGUCCAGACUCCUACGGGAGGCAGCAGUGGGGAAUAUUGCGCAAUGGGCGAAAGCCUGACGCAGCGACGCCUCGUGAGGGAUGAAGGUCUUCGGAUCGUAAACCUCUGUCAAGAGGGAAGAAACCCUUGAGUUCGAACAGGGCUCUUGGCUGACGGUACCUCUAAAGGAAGCACCGGCUAACUCCGUGCCAGCAGCCGCGGUAA
rnacentral:rRNA from 1 species